AAGACGAUAAUGGGAAAAUAAAAGAUAUCAUAUAAAACCAUUUUAUCGAUAAGAUUUGUAGCAUAAACCAACCAAAAUUAAAUAGAAAAGAAUAAGUUUAUGGGUAGAUAAUAGUUGGAUGGAUAAAAUACAAGACGGAUUUCUCUAAAUAACGUAUCAUUUUGAAUUAGAUCAAGUAUAUUGACUGAAGAAACAAAUCCAUUUAAGCUUGCUAAAUUCCAGAUAAACCACUAAAGAUAAUUUUAUCAUUGACAUAAACAUCAGUAACCCCAAAGUCAAAAAUAAUAAUAAAAACAGCACAUACAAGCAGUAUGCUUACCACAUCCUCUGGUUCAUCAGCAUU
rnacentral:misc_RNA from 1 species